rnacentral:rRNA from 1 species
GUCUAUGGCCAUGUCACCCUGAAUACUUCCGAUCUUGUCUUAUCUCGGAAGCUAAGCAGGGUCAACCUGGUUAGUACUUGGAUGGGAGACCACCUAGGAAGACCGGGUGCUAUAGGCG